GAUGAACGCUGGCGGCGUGCUUAACACAUGCAAGUCGAACGAUGAAGCUCUGCUGUCUGUGUGUAUUAGUUGCGAACGGGUUAGUAACACGUGAGUAACCUGCUCUUUACUCUGGGUUAAGCCUGGGAAACUCGGUCUAAUACCGUAUAUAAUCGCCUACAGCAUUGUGUGUGUUGGGAAGAUUUAUCGGAUUUUGAUGUACCCGCGGCAUAUCAGCUUGUUGGUGAGGUUAUGCCUCACAAAGGCGACGACGGGUAGCUGGCCUGCGAGGGUGACCGGCCACAGUGGGACUGAGAAACGAGCCAGAGUCAUACGGGAGGAAGCAGUGAGAAAUAUUGCAAAAUGGGCGAAAGCCGGAUGCAGCGACGCCGCGUGAGAGAUGACUGCCUUAGGGUUGUAAACCUCUUUCAGUAGGGAAGAAGCGAAAGUGACGGUACCUGAAGAAGAAGCACCGGCUAACUACGUG
rnacentral:rRNA from 1 species